AUACGGAGGGGGCAAGCGUUAUUCGGAUUUACUGGGCGUAAAGCGCGCGUAGGCGGUCUGUUUAGUCAGGCGUGAAAUCCCUGGGCUCAACCCAGGAACUGCGUUUGAAACUGGCGGACUAGAGUUCGGGAGAGGAGAGUGGAAUUCCCAGUGUAGAGGUGAAAUUCGUAGAUAUUGGGAAGAACACCAGUGGCGAAGGCGGCUCUCUGGACCGAUACUGACGCUGAGGUGCGAAAGCGUGGGGAGCAAACAGGAUUAGAAACCCCAGUAGUCC
rnacentral:rRNA from 1 species